AUAUAUAUAUAUAUAUAAUUUUUUUUUAGGAUUUCUCUUUUUUUUUCAGCCUCCUUGACUAACUCCCCCGAUCUCCUUUUUUUCGGCCUCCUUGUCUAACUCUCCUGCAUUUGGGAUUUUGCUACUGAUAAAGCUGGGAGAGAGUGCUGCUUUUGAUUGUAACUGUCUUGGCACCUCCAACCUCUGUAGUAUCCUUGUAGCAUUUUCUAUCUAGCUGCCUGCUGUUGUCUAGUGGGGAUAGAAGUAGAACUGAUUGAUCUGACUUGGGUUUGGGUGUACAAGUGGGAGAAUAUUUCACGGGAAUUUCACUGACAACCAGUCGCUCCCAUUCUUCAGCAAUAGAAGCUGUGGUUUUGUCUUCUCCAGCUGUCUGAAUCCCUAUCCGGGUGAGCGGAGUUUAGCAUUUUGCUUUGGCCGUUAAUAAGAAUAUUUCUUCAGUCAGUCAUAUCUUUUGCAAUCGCCCAUGUUCUUUCUUUAAUCUCGCCUUUCUUUUGUCCCAUCUCGAUCGAUUCAUAACAUCUCCGGAUCACAAAGAGAUGCUGCUCUUUUAUUAUACAAUUCACUUGUAACCAGACAUUUUGGACAUGCUCCAGGGCCAGGCUGAUUUUUUAAUCUACUUGAUGAAUGGUUUGAAAUUCGGAUCGGGUCGGGUUGAAUUGAAGUAAAUAAUAUUCUUAACGGGUUGGAAUUGGGUUUUACCAUUAGAACUUUUGAGCGGGGAUGAGUCGGGUAUUAAAUAAAAGUAUUAAGAUUUCGAGUCGGAGGCGGAAAAAGCAAAAAUCCGACCUACCCGUCACAAUGCCAACUCUAUGAAGGAUUGAGUUGAAAAUGAAAAAAAAUACAAAAGAAAAAGGGAUGAAAAUUGGAACAGGGUCUCUCCACAAUUGUGAGGUCUAUGCCUCCAUGGUUUUUGUCAAGCAUUAUUACACAAGUUUGGUGUGAGGGACUUAAGAAAGUGUUUUGAAUUUUAUUUCGAUUAUGUAUUAAAAUUAAUCAUAAAAUAUAAAGAUUCACAUAUUUUCUUUUUUAUGAAAAUUUUUUUUCAUUGCACUACUAAAUAAAGCUUAAGUUUGGAUUAAUAAUGUAAAUGAUACAUCAAUUCUCAUAAAUUAUUUAAAUUUAAUUUGAUUAUUAUCGAAUUAAGUUUAAGUUCGAACAAUUUAAUUUAUUAAGUAAGUUGAGUUUAAGUAUCUUAAUAUCCGAUUCAAAUAAUUUAUGAACUUAAUCAAGUUUUUAGAUUUUAAUAUAUUUUUCAUUAUUUUAAUUAAAAAUUAUUAUUUUAUUCUUAUAUAUAUAUAUAUAUCAAUUCAAUUUUGAAUUCAAGUAACUUAAUUUUUAUCUCGAGUUGAGUUUAAAUUUAAAAUUUAAAAUUUGAUCAAACUCGAUCCAAGUUUUGAAUAAUAAAUUUUGAGUAAAACUUAAAUUUGAAUUUCACUGUAUUGAUUCAAUUUAAUUUGAUCAUACACUAGUUUAGACCCAUCUAUGAGCUCAUAUUUUAUUAAUUAAUAACAAAUUAAAAAAACUUUAUAUUGACAUUUUAACACUUUUGACAUAUCAAAAUGAAUUUGGAUUUAUAAAUAGUAUUUAUUAAUUUAUUUAAUACUAACAUAAUACAUAAUAAUUUUGGGCCGAACUUGAUUCGGGCUUAAAACUUUAAAGCCCUACUCUAAUUCAAAAUAGGCCGGACUUAUGGGUGUAGAUGCAAAGUCAAAUCCUUGAAUCAUUUUUCAUUUUCCAUUUUAUUGUCUCAAAAUUCUUAUUAGGUGAAGGUUCACUUUCUUUUGCCUUUUUUUUCCUACUCUCAUAGUGUUGCAAAUCUUUUGUUAUAUUGUUUUCAUGGUUGAUUUUUUUUGUCCAGCCGGCAUGUGACUGGAUUGGCCAGAGCGUGCUACCUCUAGCGAAAGCAUUGAAGCUGUUACGCAGUUGCAUGCUGUAAUCAGAAAUGCUUGUGAUAAUUAUUAUGAACCUGUAUGCAUGCUAUCAUCAUUCUGAUUCAUUAUUUUCUUCUGCCAGAAUCUAGUGAUGCCGCAUGUAGACCACUCUGCAGAGGUUCUGAUUGACCUUUUGCAAGCUCUUCUAGAUUUGAUCCUUGGAGUCGAUUAACUGCUCGUUAAGCUCUCAGGCAUCCCUUUUUCACCGAAGAUCAUUGCCAGGGAUUCUCAGUUAUUUCUUUUCUUUCUAUUUCAAUACUCUGGUUCUGAUAUUGCUUGCUCAAGUUUUACAUAUUGAUCCUGGCUUAGGCAUGAGGGGUUAGUGGUUGGUGAUGAAUUCUGUUUUGACUCUUUUAAUAUGAAAGGCCGACCAGGAUUCUGGGGUUUCUGUAGUUUAUUUUAUUUUAUUUUUUGUAAAUUAGCUAUUGUUUUUUCUCCUCUGAUUCCUUUAUCCUGGAAAUGUGAUGUAGAAGUUUUUCUCAAUGAAUUAGAAGGUUUGCACUUACUAAUCUAUUGGCUUUGGUCCACGAAUCAGAAUUCAGAAGGCUGUCCUGUCUUAAUUCUACAGAGAUGGACAAUGGAAUUCAAAAAGAAAUGUGGAUGAGUAAGAAAAAGAGCUGGAGCUAUGGUGAUGAUUUCUUCUUACACUUGCAAAAUCAGUUUUGACAGAUAUCAAAUGGUUUCUUCAAAGUGGUUUUAUUUCAAGAAAGAGCAAAAUUAAUUUCUGAUGUUAUUAUAAUGAGUAUUGAAUCUCUAGUAAAAUAGAACAAAUAAUUACAAUGGAUUCCUUAUCAGUGUUUCGUAUUGCAUCUUUUAGCUCUCAAGACCCCAUUUGGAGGGCUGGACACCAUCAGGCUACAAUGACCGUGCAACCAAUACGAAUAUUUCAAGAAACCACCGAGAUUGUAUCGGGCUCGAAACUUCCCCUUGACUGUAAACAUGACUCGGUUGUUCUCAAUCUGCUUUUGUAGCAGCAGAGUUUCUUUCAAUGAAAGCCUAACCUGACUGGUUACCAUGUGAAUAUUUGCAAUCAUUGACAGACCUCUUGCCGCUGAGAAAGGUUCUAUGUAUUGGGUAGCAAUCAUACUAUUCUCAAAGUAAAGAUCAAGGUACAUGUAACUGAAAUCCACGCUCACCUUCAUGUUUGGAUUUGUGAAGUUCGCAAGCACACUAAGAUCAGCAUUGAGCAAGUAACGCAUGUCCAGAUAGGCUGCAUUCAAGCUGACGCUAUUGACAUCAAAAUGUGGACUGCGUGGUCGAAAGACGAGAUAGACUAUGAGAACGAUUAAGCCUCCUAUUAUUAUGACGAGCCAAAAAAUUAUACAGAAAG
rnacentral:lncRNA from 1 species